AACGAACGCUGGCGGCAUGCCUAACACAUGCCAGUCGAACGAGACCGCCGUGCUUUGUUGCGCUCGGGUGCGUAACGCGGGGGAAGCUGCCCUUAGGUUCCGUAUACCUCCCUGUAAGGGGUGCUAAUGCCGGAUAAUCUCUUCGCACCAAAGAUUUAUCGCCUUUGGAUGGGCCCGCGUUGGUUUAGCUGGUUGGUAGGGUAAAAGCCUAUCAAGGCGUGGAUCCAUAGCUGGUGGGAGAGGAUGAUCAGCCACGCUGGGACUGAGACACGGCCCAGAAUCCUACGGGAGGGAGGAGUGGGGAAUAUUGGGCGAUGGGGGAAGGCCUGAUCAAGCAAUGCCGGGUGAGUGAUGCAGGCGUUAGGGUUGUAAAGCUCUUUUACCCGAGGUGAUAAUGACAGUACCGGGAGAAUAAGCACCGGCUAACUACGUG
rnacentral:rRNA from 1 species